GAGUGGGUAGCUCAAUUUGUAGAGCCCCUGGUUCUUUACCAGGGAGAUUGUGGUCCAAUUCCAUGCCCACUCA
rnacentral:tRNA from 2 species